GCAGAACGCGAAGAACCUUACCAGGACUUGACAUCCUUCCUAAACCCUUUGUAAUGAAGGGCUCGGUUCGGCCGGGGGAAGAGACAGGUGCUGCAUGGCUGCCGUCAGCUCGUGUCGUGAGAUGUUGGGUUAAGUCCCGCAACGAGCGCAACCCUCACCUUUAGUUACCAGCGGGUUAUGCCGGGGACUCUAAAGGAACUGCCUAUGACAAGUAGGAGGAAGGCGGGGAUGACGUCAAGUCAGCACGGCCCUUACGUCCUGGGCCACACACGUGCUACAAUGGUGGUGACAAUGGGCUGCAACCGCGCGAGCGGAAGCUAAUCUCAAAAAACCAUCUCAGUUCGGAUUGCUCUCUGCAACUCGAGAGCAUGAAGCUGGAAUCGCUAGUAAUCGCAUAUCAGCAGGAUGCGGUGAAUACGUUCCCGGGUCUUGUACACACCG
rnacentral:rRNA from 1 species